GACGAACGCUGGCGGCGUGCUUAACACAUGCAAGUCGAACGAAGUGGCGAACGGGUGAGUAACGCGUAAUCAACCUGCCCUUCAGAGGGGGACAACAGUUGGACACGACUGCUAAUAACGCAUACUGAAGGAGGGGAUUGCGUCUGAUUAGCUCGUUGGAGGGGUAACGGCCCACCAAGGCGAUGAUCAGGAGCCGGUCUGAGAAGAGGAACGGCCACAUUGGGACUGUGAUACGGCCCAGACUCCUACGGGUGGAAGCAGUGGGGGAUAUUGCACAAUGGGCGAAGGCCUGAUGCAGCGACGCCGCGGGGGGGAUGAAGGCUUUCGGGUUGUAAACCUCUGUCGCUAUCGAACGGGUAGGUGGAGAAGAAGCGCCGGCUAACUACGUGCCAGCAGCCGCGGUAAUUC
rnacentral:rRNA from 1 species